ncrna:unclassified sequences AdoCbl variant RNA
AUACUGAAACAUGGUGGGGAAUUAAUGUGAAAUUCAUUAGCUGUUCCUGCAACGGUAAAGUCCGAGUGCCACCCAGUAG